UCUUCCAGAAACGCCCUCACAGACACCCCGGAAGUCACGUACCCACUCUGUAGGUGCCCCGGGGCACAGGCAAGCGGACGAGCCAGUUAUCCCUCAGAGCUCCUGCUGCCUCGCCCGCUUUCUCUCGGAAACGUGAAGUGUGGCCUCAGCUGAAAGUGAGGUGGGCCUCAUUCAAUCAGUUGAAUUCUUCAAGAGAGAAAAACUGAAGUCCCUUAGAAGGAAAGAGUUCUGCCUUCAGACUGUCUUUGAACUUAAGACUGUAGCGUCGACUCCUGCCGGAAUUUCCAGCCUGCUGGCCAGCUCUGCAGAUUCACACUUGCCAGCCUCCACAAUCGCAGCUGAGGCGGAGGAACCCUAAGGGCUCAUUGAGAUCAUGGAUUUGCCCUUCUAUGCAUUGAUGGAGCACCUGCUGCCCACAGCGUCUGUAUUUGGUGCUGGGAUGCUGAGGACACUGAGAUCUUCAAACAGAGGCUGCCACUCUAAGCAAACAGAUCCCGAGCCCUGGACUCUGAAGCUUGGGCCCAGUUCUCCUUUUCUCCGGGUUUCAGAUCCCACUGUGAAGUGAGGGGGCCCUUCUGAUUCAGGACCCGGGGAAGCCAGGGGCAUGAGCAUCGGUGCCUCUUCUCUAUUUCAAGGACCCUUCUGGGUGUAAAGUUCUCUGAGAUGCCUUACAUGGAUUCCCACCACUGCAAGAUAACCAUCGUAUGUAAAGUGUUAUGACCAGCAGAGCGUAAUUGAAGUGCAUUCCAGAGGGAAAGACAGCGGCUCAGAUAAUCAUAGAGCACCAACUCUAUCUGCACCAUGGAUUUUGCAAGCUCCUGGGAAUGCAGAAGAGAACAUUACAGAUGGCUUUGCUGGCUUUGUGGGAUUCAAAAAUAGCCAUCAAAACAAGUCUGAAGCAACUCACACAACUAAUUUUAAUGGUGGCCACUGCCAGGGUAACCAGUUCAUUGAAGAAAUGACUCUCGGCAGGGAUCAGAACACAACUUACAUUCUGUAUCGCUGUGCCUUCAAUUAUUAUUAUUAUUAUUAUUUAUUAUUAG
rnacentral:lncRNA from 1 species